CGCCAAGACAACUUCAGAGAAUCAGAGCUGCUGCUUCACUUCUGCCUGCAAGCUUCUGCAUAGAUUCCUCUUUCGGCCUGUACUAACCUAGAAAGGGUAUUCCAGGUGCUGAACCAGAGCCAUUUUCCAAAACCCUCCUGGCCUCCCGGACCUGUGACGCUUCCUGCAGUUGAUGUGCAAAGUCUCGCUACAAAACCAGCCCCAGGAACACAGAGCCCCAUGUUUCCUCCCUGAAGGACCCAGGGCCUCUAUUCUUCAGUGUCCUCUAUACACAACUCCUUUUGGGGUAUGACAGCUUCACUGCCGGAGGCAACACCAUCUGUAUUCGUGGGAAAGGAGGUGGCUGGGUAGAAGCAGAGGUGUGACUUACAGAUGGGGCAUGCACGGAGGAAGAGUAACAACUGGACAAACACAAGGAAAGAGCAAUGGGGCAAGGACUGCAGGAUGUUGGUAUGGACAAGGUUGAAGCAAUGGACUGCAGAGUGUAAACUCCUAAAAACCACCCAUCUUUUUAUUGUCUCUGUGGGUUUGCCUUUUCCAAAAUGUCCCUUUGUUACCAUUACAUAUCAUGCAGCCUUUUCACCCUGGCUUCUUUCACUUAUCAAUACGCACUUGGUUCCUGCAUAUCUUUCCAUGGCUUCAUACCUCAUUUCUUUUUACUAGUGGCUAAUAUUCCAUUGUAUGGCUAUAUCACAGUUUCUUUAUCUAUUCACCUAUAAAUAAUAUCUUGGUUGCUUCUGGGUUUUGGUGAUUAUGAAUAAAGAUGUUACAAAUAUUUGCCUG
rnacentral:lncRNA from 10 species